rnacentral:tRNA from 1 species
GCCCCAAUAGCUCAGAGGAUAGAGCAACUGCCUUCUAAGCAGUGGGCCGUAGGUUCGAAUCCUACUUGGGGCG